AGGCACCGCAGAACUUCAUUUUGGAUUAUAUAAAAUAUAAUUACAAGAAUGUAUAAAUAAAAUUAGCCAAAUACAUAAACCUUCAAUAGGGAAUGGAUAAUUAAUGAACACGACACUACUACUUCAUACGAACUAAUAAACUCACAAUGUUGAAUUAAUAUUAUAAAAUUACAAAAGGUAAAAUCUGACAAACUGCUCAUCUAUUUUAGUUAUGCGGAGAUCGGAAAAAUCUAGAGAUCUCCCCACCUCGGCCAGACCAGGAUAUGUUACUCCAAGUUGGACUCUGUAACUGUGUGAUUGCAAGGGUCAACCAUUCAAUUCUAAUUAACCCAAAAAAAAUAUAUAUAUAUUUGAAAAACCAAGCAAUCUAUACCAAUUUAGUAAUGAGUAAUAGUUGAUUAAUUUUAAGUCACAUUAUUUUCAACACAAAACUAUAUAUAAAAAAAGGGAAUUAACAGAUAUUUAAAAAGAAAAGUGAAGGGGGGAAAAAAAA